AAAAAUUUUUUAGUCUUAAUAGUAUUUUAUUUUUCCAAAUACAUGCAAAGAGAGUUUUUAACAUUCACCUUUAUAGCUAACAUUUAUUAAACAGCUAUUAUGAACCAGGUACUGUGUUAAGCACUUCACAACUAUCCCAUUUGAGCCUAUAGGUGCCAUUAUCAUCCUCACUUUAAGAUGGGGAAACUGGGGCCAAAGGAGGUUAAGUGGCUCUUCUAGAUCCCCAUUUGAGCAUUUUUUGACAAAGAUAUUGGAAUGAUUUGCCAUUUCUAGGCAAACUGAGGCAAACAGGGUUGAGUGACUUGCCCAGAGUCAUACUUCCCAGGAGACCUAGUUUUGUGCACUGCAUCAUGGAGAUAGCUCUUUCCCCUCCUUCCAAGCCCCAACCCCCCGCACUGGAAGCUGCUCGUUGCCCAUCUAGACCUCUUCUAGUAACUCCCGGAGAGCGCGCGGCAGGGCUAGGCCACGAGGGCCCACGUGACAGAGACCCGGAAAGCCGCGGAGCGUUCCAAGCUCAGCUCCGGUCCAGCUGAGAGGUCCCCGCUUACCCCCGCGCCCGCUCUGCCCCAAUCCAUGCGCCUGCGCACCGGCGCGGGGCAGGGCCGGGAGAAGCUCCGGCGCUAGGCUCCUCCUCCCCUCGCUUUCGCUUUCACUUUCCCAGCUGCUGAGGGUUCUUGCUCUUGGGGUACAUGGAAAAUGAAAAGGGAGACUUUCUACUUUUCCCUGUCCGCUGGAAGCUGGACUUUCAUGCCCGCCGCUGGCCGAGCCUCGUGAGUGCUGAUGUUGGAUAACCAUGUAAUCAUUCAUUUGGAGAAACAUUUACUUUUACAUGAAGAAAUUGAAAUAGGUGUAGCUGGUUCUGUUCAUCACAAUUGGAACUGAUUUGGAUCCUCUCAUUGCUGAAGAUAGCCGCUUCCAUCCGAACUGAUCCAACAACAGUAUUGUUGUUGAAGUGUAUAAUGAUCUCCUGGUUCUGCUCAUUUCACUUAGCAUCAGUUCAUGAGAGAGCUACUCAAGGUUGCCAGCCUGGAAGGGUUGUUUAUGCUGAAAGAUGGGAAGAAUGUAUCAACUCUAACCUCAGAGUGACACCGCCUGGGUCUCUGAGGGCCCCUGGGGAAAAGCUGUACCAGGAUCGCUGGGUACCACACUGGCAAAAACCUCCAGGGGCCUCAGUUUUUCAUCACAGCAAGGAGUGGACGGUCGUGGGCUUGCCCUCUGCCACCUCCCUCUGGCCACUGCGCUGCCGCCGUGUCUGGGAGCCAGCAGAGCCACUGUCUUCUGCCUCUGAAGCCAAAGCCUUUGCCCGACGUCUGCUCACCAGGACCCACUGCUCUGUCGGAUCAGCGUAGGACAACUGAGCUCGUAAGCCCUGUGAUAGAACAGUGGUGUUUUAGAUCUGACUGUUGUUGCUGCCAUUGCUGGGACCUGAAUCUUCCUCACUAUAACACAUCACAAUAAUGAUAAUAAUAACAACAUUAACAGAGUGCCUACUACCAUGUACCAAGCACUGUGCUUUACAAAUAUCUCAUUUGAAUGUCCAGCAACUUUGAGUGUGGUUAUCCCCAUUUUACAGUUGAGAAGAAUGAGGCAGACAGAAGUUAAGUAAUGGGCCUAGAGACCAACAGCUGGUGUCUGAGGGGAGAUUUGAGUUCAGAUCUUUUUGACUCCUGGCACUCCUGCUGCAUACAGUACACACAAACAUGGCUGUUUCCCUCUGCAGACAAUUGCUGGGGGCCUGCAAUGUUCUCCAGUCUGGGGGAGCACUGUGGGUGCUGCUACUGUUGGGUUAGAAGUCGGCUUUUCUGUGCUGAGGGACAGACACAGCAGCACAGAUUCCUCUAGGCAGGUUCCUGGCUCUGUCUCCUCUGGGCAAGCAGUUGCUAUUUCUGCUGCAGGUAGGAAAAUGCUCCUGGGGCCUGAGCUCCGUACUCCUCAGGGGCUGGCCCUUCGAUGCAGGCUUCAGAGAGCAAAUUACAAUUCACAGUUUGGAGAUUUUUGAUGAUCAGCGAGGCAGACUCAGGCCUUCUCAGCAAUACAGUGAUCCAUUACAAUUCCAAUAGACUUGGGGUGGAAAACGCAAUCCACUUCCAGAAGGAGAACUAUGGAGACUGAAUGAGGAUCGAAGCACACUAUUUUCACCUUUUUUGUUUGUUUGCUUUUUCUUUCUCACGGUUUUUCCCUUUUGUUUUGAUUUUUUUUUUCACAAUGUGGCAAAUGUGGAAAUGUGUUUUAAAUGAUGGCACAUAUAGAACUUAUAUAAGAUUGCUUGCUCUUUUGGAGGGAGGUGAGGGAGGAUGGAGAAAAAAGUUUGGAAUUCAAGAUCUUACAGAAAUGAAUGUUGAAAACUUUUUUUACAUGUAAUCAGAAAAAUAAAAUUAAAAAAAAACUUGAAAAAGCCAUUAUAGGUAUUCUAUUCUAUUUUUAUUUAUUUUGAAAAAUAUUUCUGAAUUACAUUUUAAUCUGGUUCUGCCUCACUGGGGAAUAUUGCAGCCCCAAUGCACUUGCAUGUUUGAUACUUCAACAAGAGCAGUUAUUCUUAAGGGACUGUAUCUAUGGAGGCAGAAGGAGCUCACAUUAUUCACUUCUUGCUACAUGGCUAGCUUACUUUCCAUUUUCCUAAGAGUAGGGAAUACUUUCCAGUAAGUAAUUACUAUUUCUAGAAGCAUCACCAAAAACACCCCAGAAAACCUCAAGGCCUGUCACUACUUUCAGGAGUUACCUGCCCCCAGGGUCAGUGAGGUCAUUAUAUUCCAGUCCUGCCAGAGUACACGGAUUGGUCAAGUCAGGGCCUUCUUGGUUUGAGUUUUUUUUAAAAAAUUAAGAACGAAAUGCAAUGCUUCCCAGACCAUUGAAAGGCUAACAAAAGGAUAUUUUCUUAGCCAUAGCUAAGAGAAAGAUAUUCAACAAGGAUAGAUAGUGAGAACUCCUUGAGUUGAUUCUGCUGAGUGGAGCACCAUUCACUAGUUAGGCAGCUCCUUAUGAUUCCUCUGUCCUCAGGAAAUGAGAAAGCUGUUUCACCAAUGUGUGUCCUUAGUCUUCUGAGUCAACUAAAUGCUGAGAAAUGUCUUAGUACCUUUUAAGGAAAAACUAGACUAUGUUGCUUCUUUCUCCUGGGGCUGGACUCAGUAUGAGGUAGCUAUAAGGAAAGAUGUCUGGUAGGUUCAUUUUCUAGGUUUCUGUUUUCUUCCCUUUACUCUUGUUUCUGCUAUUACUAGGACAUUUGAGGAUUUCAGGAUAAGUCUUUAGCUCCUGUGUAUUUUGAGACUGGAUUGCUUUUGUUCCUAGCUUUUAGUCACUUUCACUUGCCUCACAAAUGAUUUUGAGGACCUUAUGAAGUAUGGGCUGGAUGUCCCCCACCUCCAGUUUAUAUAAAAAGAUGUGCUUUUAUCACUCUUUAUCAGCUCGGAAAACAUGCUUGAAGAUUUAAGAACACUAAUUGGUCAGGACACUGCAGGUGCCUGAACUUAUGGACUCUUUAAUGAGUGAUAAUGGACCAAGACACACAUACCUAGCUUGUGAGCAGGUUUUCAGUGUCUAUGAUUAAUCUUUAGGUCAACUUAAUCUUGACAAACAAUUAAGACUGUCAGCAUCUUGAAGUACCUGUUAUCUGGAAUGAAAACGACAGUAACCAUUCUUAUAUACAACUCAAGUAUGAUGAGCAGUCAGUGACAUUGGGAGAUGGGAUGUGGAAAGCAUUAUCUUGUGGUGGAUAAUCUAAGCAAUUUGGGAAUUAAUAAUUUGCUAAGAAUAUCUUUAAGAAAAACUAUUAUUAUCUUAAUAGUGGAGCAAAAACCCUUACAAAGUUACAAGGAAGAAAUGUAAAAUCUGUCAAACUUUUGUCAAACUUAUGAAGCUGCAAGUAAUUAUACUUCAAAGUAAAGUACUAAUUCAACAUACUAUCUGUGAUAGGACUGGUAUUUACCUGACACAACUUCUUUCUUUCCAAUCAUAACAUAGGGAGGGUUUUCCUAAAGAAAAAAAACAUACAAAAUUAUCCUCCAGAACCUUAUUAACAUUGAAUGCAGCUUUCUGAUCAUUAGAAAAAAUCCCAGCCAUAUAAAGUCUAGGCCUCUCAGACUUGUUGGGUCUGUGACCACACAAUUUACUCUACCCUACUGGCUACAUGAAUUUCCUUAUGAAGAUGAGGAAAAUUACUUCCAGGGAAGCUAAAUACUUCUCUAUUGUUGUUCUCUAUCAUUGGCAACACAAACCUCCUGAAUUAAAUGUUCAAUGGUUGACAAAUGCCCCAUUUUUUUCUUUUUAAAUUCAGUUUUAUUUUUUAUUUUCAGAUUUCCAUUCACUCUAUCCUAUUUCCUAUCAUCCCCCACUCUAUUGAGAAAGCAAGGAAAAACAAAAUUUAUCACAAAUUCUUAUAAUCAAGGAAAACAAAUUCAUUUAUUAGCCAUGUCCAAGAAGAAAAGAAAGAAAAUGUUUGCUUCAGGAUAUACUCCAAGUCAUUCAAAUUCCAUAAUUUGUUCAGAUGUGAAUGUGAUGUGAUCUAAAGUGCUAUAAAAAAUGAUGAAGUACACUGUUUACUAGACAAAGUCAAAAUGGGUACAUGAUUUAAACAUAAAGGGUAAUACCAUAAGCAAAUAAAAGAGAAUAGAAUAUUUUAUAUCUCAGAUUUAUGGAUAAGGGAAAACUUUAGGACUAACCAAGGAAUAAAAAGCAUUACUGAUGUAAAAUGCAUAAUUUUGAUUACACUAAAUUUAAAAAUUUUUGAACAAACAAAACCAAUGCAGUCAAGAUUAGAAGGAAAGUAGGAAAUGGAGAAAAAAAUUAUAACAAAUUUCUCUGAUAAAAUGCUUUCCCUAAUUGCCUAAUUCAAAGUUCUCGGAAUAAAAAAAUCAAAGCUAUCUGUAGUCAUAUAAAAAUGCUUUAAAUCACUAUUGAUUAGAGAAGUGUAAAUGAAAAUAACUUUGAAAUGCUAUCUAAUGCUUAUUAGAUUGGCUAACGUGACAGAAAAGUAAAAUGACAAACAUUGAAGGGAAUGUAGAAAAAUAGAGAUACUGAUGCACUAUUGGUGUUGUGAACUGAUCUAACCUAUUUUGGAAAGCGAUUUGCAACUAAGUGCAAAAGAUUAUAUUACUGUACAUACCUUUUAACCAAGAAAUGCUACUAGUAGUUUUGUGCUCACAAUAGAUUUUUUUUAAGUAAAAGGAUAUAUAUGUGCAAAAAUGUUUUUAAUAAUUCUUUGGCAAAGAAUUGGAAAUCGAAGGGAUGUUCAUAAAUUGGGAAAGGGAAGGGAGCAAGGGAAAGGGAACAUGUUUUAAUUUAUGAUUGUAAUAGAAUACUAUUGUGCCAUAAGAAAUGAUGAGUAGGGUGCCUUUGAAAAACCUAGAAAGACUUAUAUGAACUGAUGCAAAGUGAAAUGAGAAAAACCACAAAAACUUUGUAUACAAUAACAGCAAAACUGUAUGAUGAUCAACUGUGAAUGACAGUUAUUCUCAACAAUACAAUGAUCUGAAGGACUUAUGAUGGAAAAAUGCUAUCUACCACCAGAGAAAUAAAUGGAUUCUAAAUGCAGACUGAAA